rnacentral:rRNA from 1 species
UACGUAGGGUGCAAGCGUUGUCCGGCAUUAUUGGGCGUAAAGAGCUUGUAGGCGGUUUGUCGCGUCUGCUGUGAAAUUUUGGGGCUCAACCCCGAACUUGCAGUGGGUACGGGCAGACUAGAGUGUGGUAGGGGAGACUGGAAUUCCUGGUGUAGCGGUGAAAUGCGCAGAUAUCAGGAGGAACACCGAUGGCGAAGGCAGGUCUCUGGGCCACUACUGACGCUGAGAAGCGAAAGCAUGGGGAGCGAACCGG